AAAAGCAUAAUUAGAUUUAUACAACAUUUUAAAGUCUUUUGAUUGUUUAAACUGCAUUUUUCUAAAACAGGAUAUGUUUUAAGUGUUUUUUGGUGGCAUCUUUAAUAAACAGUAGUCUCCUCAGUGGAAGAGGAAAGCAGAAAACAAGAGAGCUUCUAAUUAAUUUCGUAUUAAAAAUAGUAAUUCGACAUUCACUUCUUCCUUCUCCAACUGUCUACAACAUCUUGUAUCUCACACUCUGGUAAUCUUGCCCUAAAGUGGCAGGGAUUUAUCCUGUGUAUGUCACUUUGAAACGUGUAGACAUGUUUAUUUAUCAUAACCCUGAUAGUAGAGUUGUUUAUAAAGCCAAAACUCUAGUCUCUAGCCAAAGAUAUUUGAGAACAUAAAAUACAUAAUGGAUUAAACCAUAUAUUUCAGUGUUUAGCCAUACUUGUUUGUGUACAACGUAAAUGCGUUCACCCACAAUACUAUGUGAAUGUUUGCAUUUAUAUAUUUGUAAGAGGGCUGACCUCUAAAUAGAAAAAUGUAGAAACAUUUUUACUUCAUUGCUUACCAAAAUUUCAAAGAACAUACUUCCUUGUAAUUCGGUAUGUUUAUACUAAUAUAUUUGUAAGAGGGCUGACCUCUAAAUAGAAAAAUGUAGAAACAUUUUUACUUUAUUACUUACCAAAAUUUCAAAGAACAUAUUUCCUUGUAAUUCAUUCUAUGACUUUAUUUCUCUUAAAUAUGGUUGGGUUAAGUUGCUUAAACUUUGGCUCGCAGAAA
rnacentral:lncRNA from 1 species